CAGGUGCCAUCUCUAUGCCCUCCCACCCAGUGCUUAGACUGUGGGCCAUUUGAUGACAGCUCUUUGAAAAUUAACUCAGAGUUUUAUUCAUCCUUAAAUUCUUUAAAGCUGCAGAUCAAACAGUCGCUGGUGCUGGCUCUUGUGUUGCCGAUGACGGUGCUUGUUUGCAUACCAAGCAGACCUUUCUCUCUCCCCCGGAAAAUGAAUUUCUUUUGGACUUGGUGCUCUAAUUGCCUGGGCAGCAGAGGCAGGCAAACAUCUUCCCCUCCUGAUUUGCAUUAUGCAAAACCCUAAUCUCCCAAGUUUCCUAAAGCCUUGAAGAGCGGAGGCUCCACAGCCCUCGGUGCCAGGAAGCGCACUGCUUGAUCUGCCACCCGGUGUCACCGCAGUGCCCUCAAACACACCCGCGGCGUCCACUCUCCAGUGGAGGUGACCCUCAGCCCACCGCCUCGGGUCUGCAAGUCCAGUUGCUGCCUGCGACUCCCUUUAGGUCAGUAAACUUUUGCCCAAAGGCCCACAUAAUAAGUAUUUUAGGCUUCCUGGUCCCAGGUCUCUGGGGCAACCCAUCGCUCCCACCCUGGUGUGACAGCAGCCCUACGCGGGCCACGUCUGGACACGUGGGCAGGACGGUGGCGCUGAGAGAAAGCAGUUUCCAUAAACGGCUCGGCAGCUCUCACCCCAGCCUCAGGCCGUCUCUGCCUCUCCCUUUUCCACCCUCCGCCGAUGACCACAUGGAGCCAAGGCGAGGCCUCUGCUGUUAGAAUGAUUGGCCUCCUCUCCCGGCUGGACCCGAGCUCAUCCAGAAACGGGAACCAGGGGAGGCAUCGAGACUUUCUGAAGACGGUACGGUGGCCCAGGCGGGGUCAGCAUGGGACAGCCAGCUGGCUGUUCUUCUGUCCAUUUGGACAGAAGUUAAAUCAGCAAAGUGCAGCUCCCCGAGCCUCAGCCGCUCUCCCUCCCUAGUGGUGGCAGCUCUCCUGGCUGCUCUCGAGCAGCUGGAGCCCACGGUACCAGGACGAGGGGACUCUUCCUGCAGCUGGAGCCCAAGGUCCGGGCAGCUACCGGCUGCUCUCCUGUGCUCCCUGCCGACCCCUGGCUGCCAGCCACCCUCGUAGGUACCGGCUCUCAGUGUGACCAGGUGGCCUGCUCUUCUCAAGACAGAGAUCACAAUCAGGCAAAUAACCCACUGAGGUGUCGGGGUAAGUGCCCGAGGACUGACCUGGGAGGGAGAGCUGCUCAUGUGGAUUAAAAUGGCGGCUCAGGAUGUGCAGCGUCCCGCAGGCUAGAGCCGCAGACUUUCUGCUCAUUCGUGGGAAGGGGAUGAGAGUGGGACGUCUGAAGCAGCUCAGGGGGCUAGAGCCAUCCAGAGAGGCCAUGGGCAGACUCAUCUGGAUGGACACAAAGCCAAUGUCCGUGGCUGCAGGCGCCUGGGCCACAGAGCUCCCCGAGACAGAGGAAGGGAGAGUGCACGGUGCCUGUGGGGAGCCCUGGGCGGCUGGAGGCAGGACGGGGACUGUGUGCUGUGGCUGGGACAGGAAGGCACAGCUGCGCUCCAGGAAAACGACACGUCCCCAGGUCUGACGCUGCGUGGGAGGCGUCGGGUGGGGUGGGGGUGCUCGACCACAAAUAGCGCGUCUGGGACAGCGGCCACAAUUGACGUCACCACCUGGUUAUAGGUAAGGUCACUCUGCACCCCAAGUUAGAGGGGAUGAGACACCCCUCCUGCACCCCUCGAGUCUCCGAGGCUGGGAGUCCCACACUCCCUCCCAGCUGCCCUCCUGGCUGGGGACUCCACUUGGACUUUACCCCGAGAUUCUUCCUGUUGCCAAGAAACUGGUGGGUGGGACCCCAGACCUACCGGCCCACUGUGACUUGAACGUGGGUCAACGUCGCGUCCAUCGCCCCACCUCGGUAGAGAGACUGGGCACGGGCUAUGGCUCUUCACUGUGGUGGCCCUGGCCACUGGGUCUGGAGGUUUUCUAAUAGGUGGAUCCAGUUGCCUUUGGACAGACUCUGCUCACUUUGUUCCUAAGGUCACCUUGAUGAUCACUCCAUUGCAAAAGGUCCCCUGAGGUCUGACCUUCGGUUCUGCUGGCUCCAUCGUCCCAGGGACGACUUCUGUCCUCCUGGAGAGCAGGGCAAGUUCUCUCCCGGUCAGAAACCAAGGCCGUCCUAGUGACCGACAGCUGCAGGACUCAAGCUGCUGGGUCCCCCGUCCUAGCACUGUCUCAGGCUGGAUUUGGCCACAAAUAAACACAACAAUGCAAAAAAAGAUGAAUUUUAUGCAACGGAUCAAAGUGGGGAGAAGCCGGGAGAGAGCAGGCUGACUUAACCAGGGGACAGGUCGGCCCCAGCGCCCAGCCUGGCCAGCGGUGGUUCCUCAGUUUCCAUUCUCCACGUGACCAGAAGUGUGAGCAGGAGUUGUUUGUAGUUUUAAAGGGGCUGUGUUAGCGCCUCACCGGGCCCCCGGGCCUCCACCCUCCACGAGGAGGCAGCUCCUCCCCAGACAUCCUCGCCGCUCAGUGGCCACACAGGUAACCGUGGGAGCUGGGCACGGGUGGCACCAACCCCAUAGCCACUCUCAGCCUGAGCCCCACACAGCCCCCCUGCAGCCAAGUCAGACAGCGGGGCGUUUCAGAGGCCGGGCGCCCCUGGCCCCGACACCAAUCCUGAAGGAUCCAAGCCAUAGUUCUCCACCGAAUCAGACCCCGUGACCUUCCCAAGAAGAAUGUGCUUAAUGAUCUCUUUCCUGCCCCGAAGUGAGAGUCAUAAAUAACUGACCCAUAAUAUCCCACACCUACUUAA